AUCAAUAAACCCCAAUAUGAUCCAAACAUUACAUUUAGCAUUUGUACACUGAAUUUUCUUUAGAUCUAACAUAGUCUACUAGAUGUGCAAGAAAUGCAGAGGCAAUAGUUUUCUCUUCUCAGUCUUUAGCUCGAGUAUUGCUUUCCACUGCUCCUCCAAGGUCAUCUCCUAUAUAAUGGUGGCCAGAGCACAUGUUAUUUCAUUAACAACAUCAGACAUGACAAACAUCAGAAAGAGUGCAAGCAUGCCAACAAACUAAGCUGGAGAAACCAAAUUGCCAGUCACUUGAUCAGCUUUGCCAUAGCUCAGAAGCUCAACAACAUCGACAGGAAGAAAAACUGCACACAUACACAGGAAAGUGUGCCACCUACCUACUUUUAAUUUCUACUAUCAGUCUCAGUUAUGAAAGCUCAUUUGUGGAUGAUAACAGGCAUAGAAAUAUGUAGUCGCUAGAAAAUAUGUAGCUAAUUUCUUCUGGUUACAACACCACCAUUUUUGCAGCCAAAGUUUCACACUACUAGGGAAAACCCUAUACACAGAAUCUUAGCAGCAGCACGGCUCAAAAAGGAGCACUGCUGCUAAUUAGCAGUAGCGCGGGUGUGGAAAACCCGCUACUGACAAGUGCUUAGCAGUAGCGCGCUCGGCGUAACCCGUGCUGCUACAAAUAUCGACCGACAGUGCCCACCCAACUCCAUUUAGCAGCAACGCGGUGCCGCGAGCCGCACUACUGCUAUAGCUGUAGCAGUAGCACGGUUUUUCUGAGGUCGCUGCUGCUAAUUUUCAAAUCGGGCACACUUUUGGUCCCAGUUAGCAGUAGCACUUGUACCGAAAGCGCGCUGCUGCUACUUUCUUAGCAGCAGCGCGUUUUACGUACCGCCCUACUGCUAAUCCGCACCCACCACCUUUUCCCCACCCGUCCUCCCCCUCCCCCAAAUCCCUCCUCUCUUCCGCCACUCCCUCCUCUCCCUCUCCAUACGUUCUCACAUUGACCUCUUGCCCAUGCGCCCCUCCUCCUCCAUGGCACCGAGAGAGGGCGCCGCCUCGCGCCACCGGCAUCUAGGAGCUCGCCGGUCUUCCACCGGCGUCUAGGAGGCCGCCGCCUCGCGCCACCACGCCAGAGACCUAACCACCGGUGGCCAGCCCUGCUACUCCCUCCAUCUCCUUCCUCUCUCCCUCGGUUCUCUCUCUCUCUCUCCCUCUGGUUUGACUCACAAUCCCAUGUCCAUGCCCGUGCAGGUAGUCGCCAUGGACAACCAUAUCUGGCAUGGUCGGGAAGAGGAUCCCCACACCGCUGCCUUGCUCUUCCAUGGAAACAGGCCCUCCUCCAACAGCCACCGCCGGAUCUGGUCUGCCGCCGCUCGUUCAUGCCUCCGGCGACCCCAACCAUCGCUGGAUCGAACAACUGCUGCCAUUGACAACACGCACGGGAUCGAGAUAUUUUUUUGCUUUUGAAAGUAAUAGUAGUAGCGCGGGGUAUAAGACCCGCUACAGAUAAUUAGCAGUAGCGUUGUACUGCAACGCACGCUACAACUAACCAUGUAUAGCAGUAGCGCGUGUCAACACGCGCUACUGCUAUAAGUUAGCUGUGGCGCCGUAUCUGUAGCGCGGGCGCCCGCGCUACUGAUACACCCAAAACCCGCGCUACUGCUAGGCUUUUCCCUAGUAGUGUCAUCUAGUGGCAUAACCCUAAAAAUAUCAGCCAAAUCGUCAAAGAUGGCACCACUGAAGAUCAUUCGUUAGAUAUUUUCUGUUAUCUACUCGUAUUUGUUUCACUUUGCUACUGGACUCAAGUCUUUAUCUAGUCAAUCUAAAGGUUAACACAUACAUUGAUCACUUGGUUAGAAUCUGUUUGUUUCUACCCACAAAAAAGAAAGUAUCCAUUUGUUUGUUUCUCUUCGCUACUGAACUCAGACUUACUUGGGUCAAUCUAGAGGAGAACAUAAUCGAAUUCCCCAAUUAUUACAGGACAUGAUGCAAUAACACAUGCUUCCUCAACCUGGAACUGAACCAAAUCUGAAAGAAAAUGUGCUCUUAACUUCUACAAUUAGUUAACUAUGAAAGCUGAUUUCUGAAUGUUGAAAAUCAUAGAAUAUGAUGUAGCUAACGCUAGACACAAUUGUGUGGUGUUUCUAAACCACAAUACCAUCAUGUCAGCAGCCAAUGUUUCACCCCAAAAAUCUACAAUCAGCCACGACCGAGAACACAAGAAAUCUAUAAAGGAUCCUCAAAAAUCAUCCACUUGCCGUUAGCUACUGGUUUCCCCCCAAAUCUAUAAUUGUUUUGUGUAUGUUAGUAGAAAAAUAAAAAGGAUAGUAGACAAAGGCAACUAACCAGCACAAAAUGAAGCUAGCAACCUGAUCAAGAAUACAUGGACUCUCCAUCCGACACCAGAGAGCCUGUGAUUCACAAAUUUGGACCAUCAAGAUUAAGAUCAUGAAGAAAUUUGCCAAAUCACAUAGUAUUUUGAUUGUUUGAAGCAGAGGCAAACUUACCAUACCAUUUCCAUCAGAAGAAGAAGUUGGAGCAGGUCUAUAUCCUG
rnacentral:lncRNA from 1 species